CUAAUACAUGCAAGUCGAGCGGACAGAUGGGAGCUUGCUCCCUGAUGUUAGCGGCGGACGGGUGAGUAACACGUGGGUAACCUGCCUGUAAGACUGGGAUAACUCCGGGAAACCGGGGCUAAUACCGGAUGGUUGUUUGAACCGCAUGGUUCAAACAUAAAAGGUGGCUUCGGCUACCACUUACAGAUGGACCCGCGGCGCAUUAGCUAGUUGGUGAGGUAACGGCUCACCAAGGCAACGAUGCGUAGCCGACCUGAGAGGGUGAUCGGCCACACUGGGACUGAGACACGGCCCAGACUCCUACGGGAGGCAGCAGUAGGGAAUCUUCCGCAAUGGACGAAAGUCUGACGGAGCAACGCCGCGUGAGUGAUGAAGGUUUUCGGAUCGUAAAGCUCUGUUGUUAGGGAAGAACAAGUACCGUUCGAAUAGGGCGGUACCUUGACGGUACCUAACCAGAAAGCCACGGCUAACUACGUGCCAGCAGCCGCGGUAAUACGUAGGUGGCAAGCGUUGUCCGGAAUUAUUGGGCGUAAAGGGCUCGCAGGCGGUUUCUUAAGUCUGAUGUGAAAGCCCCCGGCUCAACCGGGGAGGGUCAUUGGAAACUGGGGAACUUGAGUGCAGAAGAGGAGAGUGGAAUUCCACGUGUAGCGGUGAAAUGCGUAGAGAUGUGGAGGAACACCAGUGGCGAAGGCGACUCUCUGGUCUGUAACUGACGCUGAGGAGCGAAAGCGUGGGGAGCGAACAGGAUUAGAUACCCUGGUAGUCCACGCCGUAAACGAUGAGUGCUAAGUGUUAGGGGGUUUCCGCCCCUUAGUGCUGCAGCUAACGCAUUAAGCACUCCGCCUGGGGAGUACGGU
rnacentral:rRNA from 1 species